rnacentral:rRNA from 1 species
GACGAACGCUGGCGGCGUGCUUAACACAUGCAAGUCGAACGGAAAGGCCCUGCUUUUGUGGGGUGCUCGAGUGGCGAACGGGUGAGUAACACGUGAGUAACCUGUCCUUGACUUUGGGAUAACUUCAGGAAACUGGGGCUAAUACCGGAUAGGAGCUCCUGCUGCAUGGUGGGGGUUGGAAAGUUUCGGCGGUUGGGGAUGGACUCGCGGCUUAUCAGCUUGUUGGUGGGGUAGUGGCUUACCAAGGUUUUGACGGGUAGCCGGCCUGAGAGGGUGACCGGCCACAUUGGGACUGGGGUACGGCCCAGACUCCUACGGGAGGCAGUGGUGGGGAAUAUUACACAAUGGGCGGGAGCCUGAUGCGGCGACGCCGCGUGCGGGAUGACGGCCUUCGGGUUGUAAACCGCUUUGGCCUGAGACGAGGCGUGAGUGACGGUAAUGGGUAAAGAAGCCACGGCUAACUACGUG